CAAUAGCGUAUAUUUAAGUUGUUGCAGUUAAAAAGCUCGUAGUUGGAUUUCGGUUAAGAGCGACCGGUCCGCCGUUUGGUGUGCACUGGUUGGUUUUAACUUCCUGUAGAGGACGUGCUCUGGGUUUAACGACCUGGACUCGGAGUCUACGUGGUUACUUUGAAAAAAUUAGAGUGUUCAAAGCGGGCUUACGCUUGAAUAUUUCAGCAUGGAAUAACACUAUAGGACUCCUGUCCUAUUUCGUUGGUCUCGGGACGGGAGUAAUGGUUAAGAGGAACAGUUGGGGGCAUUCGUAUUUCAUUGUCAGAGGUGAAAUUCUUGGAUUUAUGAAAGACGAACUUCUGCGAAAGCAUUUGCCAAGGAUGUUUUCAUUAA
rnacentral:rRNA from 1 species